GGAUUGUAGUCUGCAACUCGACUACAUGAAGCUGGAAUCGCUAGUAAUCGCGGAUCAGAAUGCCGCGGUGAAUACGUUCCCGGGUCUUGUACACACCGCCCGUCACACCAUGGGAGUCGGAAAUGCCCGAAGUCUGUGACCUAACCGUAAGGAAGGAGCAGCCGAAGGCAGGUCGGAUGACUGGGGUGAAGUCGUAACAAGGUAAC
rnacentral:rRNA from 1 species